GAACGCACCUUGCGCUCCUUGGUAUUCCGAGGAGCAUGCCUGUUUGAGUGUCAUUAAUAUAUCAAUCUCUUCAGCUUUUGCUUGUUGAGUAUUGGAUGUGGGGGCCUUUUUUGCUGGUCUUUUAAAAGAGGUCAGCUCCCCUAAAAUGUAUUAGCGGAACAAUUUGUUGACCGUUCAUUAGUGUGAUAAUUAUCUACGCUAUUGACGUGAGGCAGUUCAGCUUCUAACAGUCCAUUAACUUGGACAGUUUUUCAUUAAUGUGACCUCAAAUCAGGUAGGACUACCCGCUGAACUUA
rnacentral:misc_RNA from 1 species